ACUGAUUAAGUUCCUCCUGCAUUGAUAAAAACCAGUGUUCAUCGAGUAGGGCUUCUUUAGGGUUUUUAGGUUCCAUCUGCGAAACGAAAGCGAAGUGAUAACAGAAGUUACUUAGCUUAGAUCGAGUUGUUACACCCUUUGAUAUGUCCCCGAGAAUGUUGUCUAUUGGAUGGUCUUUGGAAGACUUCCAAGCUUGAGGAAGAUCAU
rnacentral:lncRNA from 1 species